GCCCCGGUAAACGGCGGCCGUAACUAUAACGGUCCUAAGGUAGCGAAAUUCCUUGUCGGGUAAGUUCCGACCUGCACGAAUGGCGUAAUGAUGGCCAGGCUGUCUCCACCCGAGACUCAGUGAAAUUGAACUCGCUGUGAAGAUGCAGUGUACCCGCGGCAAGACGGAAAGACCCCGUGAACCUUUACUAUAGCUUGACACUGAACAUUGAGCCUUGAUGUGUAGGAUAGGUGGGAGGCUUUGAAGUGUGGACGCCAGUCUGCAUGGAGCCGACCUUGAAAUACCACCCUUUAAUGUUU
rnacentral:rRNA from 1 species